UUUUUGUUGUUGUUUGGUUUUUACUCAGACUUUUUCAGAACAAUUUUAAAUUUACAGAAAAAUUGAGCAGAUAGUACAGUGAGUUCUCAUAUACCCACACAAUUUCUAUUAAACUCCUGCAUUCAUGCAGCAUAUUUGUUACAGUUAAUGAACCUCUAUUGAUAUAUUACUAAUUAAACUCCAUCAUCAAGGUUACUCUUUUUGUCCUACACUUUGGUGGAUUUUGGAAAAUGCAUAAUACAUAUCCACCAUAACGGUCCCACACAAAAUAGUUUCGCUGCCCUAGAAAUGCCCUGUGCUCCACCUGUUCAUCACCUUCCAUCUUCAGGGACCCUCUUGAAACACAGAUAUUUUUUCUGUCUCCAUAGUUUUGCCUUUUCUAGAAUGUCAUAUAGUGGGAAUCAGACAAUAGAUAGCAUUUUUAGACUGGCUUCUUUCACUUAGCAUUUUAUACGCAUUUAAGUUCCUUUUUAAUUUUUUGCUUAAUAGCUCAUUUGUGUUUAUCACUGAACAAUAAUCUAAGUACCACAGUCUGCUUAUCCAUUCACCUUAAAGGAUAUCUUGUUUGCUUCCAUAAAACUGCUAUAAACAUCCACGCUCAGCUUUUUGUGUGGACAUGCUUUCAACUCAUUUGAGUAAAUACCUAGGAGUGUGAUUGCUGGAAGUUAUCAUACAACUAGGUUUAGCCUCAAAGACAUUGCCAAACUCUCUUCCAAAGUGCAUUCCCGUCAGCAAUGAAUGAGAGCUCCUGUCACUCCACAGCCUUGCCAACUGAGUUCCUUUUGGAUUUUUGCCAUUUUAAUAGGUGUGUAGUGGCAUCUUGUUAAUCUGUGGUUUCCUGGGGCACCUAGGUGGCUCAGUGGGUUGAGCAUUCAGCUCAGGUCAUGAUCUCAUAGCUCCUCAGAUCAAGCCCUUCAUAGAGCUUGGAGGUGCUCAGCCUGGAGUCAGCUUGAGGAUUUUCUCCUCUGCUCCUCCUCUACUCAGUCGGUCUCUCACCCUCUUUCUAAAAUAUAUAUAUUUAUUUUAAUCUGUGGUGUACAAAUUACAUGAUGGUGAUCAUAUCCUAUGCUUACUUGCCAUCUGUGUAUCUUUGGUAACCUGUCUCUCCAGUUUUCAAUUGGCUUUUCGGUUGUUUUAGGAGUUCACUGUAGAUUUUGGAUAAAAGUCCUUUUGUGUUACAUCUCUCAUUUGCCUACAAAACUUGGAGGAUUCAAAUGAGAACUGAGUCCCUGGGGGAUGAAGGAGCCACAGGUGGGUGAGGUCUGCACCCUUGAGACCAAGUAGAGCAGAGCCCCCAACCCUCACCGGCUGUGAUAAACUAACAUUUACUGGGAUAAGAAACUACUGUUAUACUGUUUCUGAACUUACAUCAAAAACAUUUCAAGAGACUUUGAAUACUGGUAUUAAGGGCUAGCUUACAAUCUUACAAAAUUCAUAUGUUGAAGCCCUCACCCCCAGUACCUCAGAAUGUAACCAUGUUUGCAGAUAAGGUAUUUAAAGGCAUGACUGAGUUACAAAGGCCUUUAGGGUAGGCCCUAAUGCAAUCAGACUGGUGUCCUGGUAAGUUUAGAUCACAGACAGCACAGGGGAAUGACCACAUGAAGACACAGUGAGAAUGUGGCCAUUGACAAGCCAGAGAGAGGCCUCAGCCCCUCAACCCUGAGUCCAACCUCUACAGCACUGUGGGAAAACACACUUCUACGGUUAAGUCACCCAGUCUGUAUUUCAGUCUGUAUUGCCUUAGUGUAGGACAGCCCUCCUACACUAAGGCACCUGGGGAGGUGGCACUAGAGGCUCUUGAAUUCAGAGCUGCCCAAGCCCUAAGGCCCUGAGGGUCUGAAGCUCCUCUUCUGGGUACAACCUCACCCAGAGACUAAUAGCUGGGGGCUAACCCUCUCUGCCUUUAUUCUUCCCGGAAGGAGCUUCUCCAGAUGGUACCAAGGCAGGUACCUAGCUCUUUAAUGCAGAUACCACUGCUGUUGCCGCCUUUGUGUGUGUGUGUGAAGGGUAAAUGGACGCACACAGGGCAAGCCUGGGAGGGAGUGUGGGGACUGCAGGCUGAACCCAUUUCUUCCAGAGCACCUGAAUCAGGAUCCAUGAUUCCAUCCAGUAAGUGGGAGUUCAGUGAUGCUGUAGGCAGGUCUGUGGGCCCGAUGUCCUGCUCCUUUCCGCCCAUCCCUUAGGCUGUCUUAUGCAUUCCCAGAUCAUGAGUACUGGUUCCAUAAUGAGGUUCAUUUUUAUUUGAAUAAUCCACAAAUGACUCAGCCCAAAAAAUGCAAUUUGCCUGAUCAGGGAUGCCCUGAAUAUCAGAUGCCCAGAUAGGGGACAUCAUUUCAGGGAGAGGGAGAGGAGAAAAGGAGAGAGGCAGAGAGAGGGAGAGAGGAAGAGGAGAGAGGGAGAGGACCUGUCAGACAGCAUUACCAAUAUUACAGGCUCUUAGCACAUGUGUUAGGUGAGAAGUUGGUUUUGAGGAUACAAGGGAUGAUAGUGCGUGGCCCCUUCUACUCCAUGAGCUGACCUGGCAUCCCAUUCAUGAGGACUCUCUGCCCUCAUGACCUAGCCACUUUCCAAAGACCCCACCUCCUAAUACCAUCACCUUAGGGUUUCAACUAAGAAUUUGGGAGAGGCACAUUCAGUCUGUAGCACUGUCCCUGUGGAAUAGGGGAAGCUCUGGCCCCAGGGCCUCACCCUGGUCAGAGGGUUAGCUUCCUAAUUACCUAUGGCCCCAAGUGGGUCUUCUACAGCAGUAAAGCAAACCCUACCCCUUCUAGGACUCUUUCCAGAACCUUUCAAAUCCUAGAGCUGGGGUCUAUGUUCCUGAAUUCAGCAACUGUAGUCUCUCACUUAAGAACUGUGUGACUUACCAGAGGCAGAGGUCCUCUAGUGAGAUCUGGUGGCCAGGCUAAGCUGUCCCUCCCACCCUCAGAACCAGGAACACAGGAGAGUCUAAGAGAUACCUAAUGUUUAUACGCAGUCUUUUCUUCUUUUUAAAAUUAGAUUAUUUUUUUUUCCCUUGUCAUUUUCUGGAAGUUUAGAAUGGCAACUUUUUGUGUAUGUAGCCAUUUACAAAAUAUUCAUGCUUGCUUUUUUUUUUUAAGAUUUUAUUUACUCUGCUUCUCCCUCUGCCUGUGUCUCUGCCUCAUUCUCUCUCUCUCUGUGACUAUCACAAAUAAAUAAAAAUUAAAAAAAUUAAAAAAAAAAAAAAAAAAA
rnacentral:lncRNA from 1 species